GAUGAGCCUGCGUAAGAUUAGCUUGUUGGUGAGGUAAUGGCUCACCAAGGCGACGAUCUUUAGCUGGUCUGAGAGGACGAUCAGCCACAUUGGGACUGAGACACGGCCCAAACUCCUACGGGAGGCAGCAGUAGGGAAUAUUGCACAAUGGAGGAAACUCUGAUGCAGCGAUGCCGCGUGAGUGAAGAAGGCCUUUGGGUUGUAAAGCUCUUUCGUCGGGGAAGAAAAUGACUGUACCCGAAUAAGAAGGUCCGGCUAACUUCGUGCCAGCAGCCGCGGUAAUACGAAGGGACCUAGCGUAGUUCGGAAUUACUGGGCUUAAAGAGCUCGUAGGUGGUUAAAAAAGUUGAUGGUGAAAUCCCAAGGCUCAACCUUGGAACUGCCAUCAAAACUUUUUAGCUAGAGUGUGAUAGAGGUAAGUGGAAUUUCUAGUGUAGAGGUGAAAUUCGUAGAUAUUAGAAAGAACACCAAAUGCGAAGGCAACUUACUGGGUCACUACUGACACUGAGGAGCGAAAGCAUGGGUAGCGAAGAGGAUUAGAUACCCUCGUAGUCCAUGCCGUAAACGAUGUGUGCUAGACGUUGGAAAUAUAUUUUUCAGUGUCGCAGCGAAAGCAUUAAGCACACCGCCUGGGGAGUACGACCGCAAGGUUAAAACUCAAAUGAAUUGACGGGGACCCGCACAAGCAGUGGAGCAUGUGGUUUAAUUCGAAGAUACGCGCAGAACCUUACCAACGCUUGACAUGUUCGUCGCGAAACUAAGAGAUUAGUUUCUUCAGUUCGGCUGGACGAAACACAGGUGCUGCAUGGCUGUCGUCAGCUCGUGUCGUGAGAUGUUGGGUUAAGUCCCGCAACGAGCGCAACCCUCACUUUUAGUUGCCAUCAUUAAGUUGGGCACUCUGAAAGAACUGCCAGUGAUAAGCUGGAGGAAGGUGGGGAUGACGUCAAGUCCUCAUGGCCCUUACGUGUUGGGCUACACACGUGCUACAAUGGCAUUUACAAUAGGAAGCAAGAUGGCGACGUCAAGCAAAUCCUAAAAAGAUGCCUCAGUUCGGAUUGUACUCUGCAACUCGAGUACAUGAAGCUGGAAUUACUAGUAAUCGCGGAUCAGCGCGCCGCGGUGAAUACGUUCCCGGGUCUUGUACACACCGCCCGUCACACCAUGGGAGUUGGUUCUACCUUAAGGCAAGGUUUUAAACCCUUGACCACGGUAUAGUCAGCGACUGGGGUGAAGUCGUAACAAGGUAGCCGUA
rnacentral:rRNA from 1 species